rnacentral:lncRNA from 1 species
CGCUGUGGUGAGUGGGACACGCGGCGAAAAGAGAUCGGUUAGAGGGGAUUCGCAAUCAUCAUUAUGCCGGAUCUCGGGGCCUAUUUAAACCCGCACUCCUCCUCCAAGAGUCCCGCUCUAUCCGACGGUCUCGUUCUGGCGCCCUUCUUCUCCCUGAGAACUCUGAUUUUUCUCAGUGCCCUUUCCAGCCUUAGGCGUUCCUCGAGCCGUCCCCAUUUCCGCACCUUCGCACCUCUCCGAAUCGCUUAGGUUAGUCUCGGAACUCCUUCCUCUUUUUGUUCUUCCUUUUGCCGUUCGAUCUUUCUUCCUCUUGCUCUGCACAUCAGUCCUCCGAGACCUUGUCCGUGAUUUUCCCCGAUUUUUAGGGAUUUCGCC